GACUGUGCUCCAGAUCCCUCUCUGCAUUCCAGAGCCCGUCCAUCAGUCCCAGCGGUGCCCUGUCCUCAGACCUCGGUCAGGAGAGAGCCAGGCGACAGAGGUGCAGGUGGCCUUGCCGCAUUUGGGGCUCAAUCGGGGACAUCGCCUUAUCGGUGGCCUGUGCCUCAGAGCUACCUUAGCCUAACCCCUCAUGUUUCCAUAGCACGUUAGGGUUUACGAGGUUCUUUUACGUCUGUCCGCUUGUUCGAAUCUCUCGUUGGCACCUCACAGGGACCAGAGUACAAGGUGCCAUUUCACAGGUAGAUAAGCUGAGGUUCAGGGGCACUACAAGUACUGCCCGAGGUCCUUAGCACAGGGCAGAGCUGCAGCCGGCACCCGGUUCAUGUUUGACCCCAGGCCCGUGAUCUUUCUGUCUAUGACAGUUUUGUGAACAUAUGGGUCGUAGCGGAGCUAUUGGCAAAGGACCACGUCGGGAGGCGCAGCUCACUGUCUUUCCGUCCUGUUGCAUCACUGACAUGGACAGGGUUGCAGUUUGGUGCUGAUGCAUCUUUACCACCUAACGCUUGCCAAUUUCCCUUUUCAAAUGAAGAGAGCAGCCUCAAGCUUAGAGCUUUGGGGGCGACAGCAGAGGAGGAAAACUGGUUUUCUCUUCUCCUCGAGACCCGCACUGAAUAGUUCUGUGACCAGAUGUAUGGGGAGUUCUUGCACACCCUUGGGAUGCCUCCAUGUGUGAAACCGUCUGCCUGGAGUUAGCCUCGGGUCCUCUGGGUGGGGGACCUGGUCCCACAAGACUGCCCCCAGCUUCAGACACGAGUCUCGAGUCCCAGCAUCACCUGUACUUAUCAGCCAAAAACCAGAGCUAGAAACCAGCCUCCUCAGGUUUGAUUCAUUGGCUGCUGUGGCUCACAGAGCUCAGGAAAGCAGUUUCCUUAUUACAAGGUUACCAGUUUAUUUUAAAGGAUAGAAGACAGUAAUAGCCAGGGGCGCCUAGGUGACUCAGUUGGUUAAGCGUCCGACUCCGGCUCAGGCCGUGGUCUCACGGUUCAUGGGUUCAAGCUGCACGUCAGGCUUUAUGGUGACAUCUGCCCCUCCUCCAGCUCCUGCUCUGUCUCUCUCUCUCAAAAAUAAACAUUAAAAAAAGAAAGAAAGAAAGAAGUCCUUAACAGCCAGAUGGAAGAGAUGCAGAGGGCAAGGUAUGGGGAAAGCUGCGGAGUUUUAUACCCUCGGUGGGGGCGCCACCCUCCCAGCACCUCCAAGGAAGUGUUCAGCAGCCUGACACUUGAAGUUCUCCAAACCCUGUGCUCUUGGGUUUUAAUGUAGGUGUAGGUGCGACUGAUUAAAUCAUCUGCCACUGGGGGUUCAUUCACCCACCAGUUCCCCCGUCCCCAGAGGUCAGCAGCAGGCCUGGAAAUUCACACCCUCUGACCACAUGGUUGGUUCCCCCUGGCAACCAUCCCCAUCCUUCAGGGCUUUCCAGAAAUUGCUUUAUUCACAUAAACUCCAGAGUGGCUGAAAGGGGCUGGUUAUGAGGAAAGGAAGACACCUUUAUUGUUUUUAUCACUUAGGAAAUGCCAAGGGUUUUAGGAGCUCUGUGCCAGAAACAGUACAAAACCCAAAUUCGUAUUUAUUAUAAGUCACGAUAUCACACACAGUCUCCGGCUUGAGUUUACUAAUGGCACUGUUUGUUUUUUAAUGUUUUUUUUUUUUUUUUCCUAAGUUUAUUUUGAGAGAGAGAGCGUAAGCAAGGGGAGGGACAGAGAGAAAAGGAGAGAAUCCCAAGCAGCCUCCUCACUGUCAGCACAGAGCCUGACAUGGGGUUCGAUCUCAUAAACCUGAGCCAAAACCAAGAGUCGGACCCUUAACCAACUAAGCUGCCCAGGUGCCCCCAUAUUCUUUUUACUUUACUGAUGUUUUUCAACCUUCCAGAAAGCUUCCUUGUAAGAAGUUUAAGUACAAAGGUAAAUUAGCUUAAUGAAAAUAUUAAGAGUACAGAUGGUCAUUAGCUAUAAAAACAUGACAGUGAAGGAGUGAUAUGGUGACGAAACCACUGUCCCCCCAAGACUGAGUUCCGAAUCCUUCCUGCAGUCAGGUCACUUCUUCACAUUCGCUGUUGGCUAUGUUCUACCCAAACUCCAACCCUGGACACCUGCAGGCAGCUUUGAGUGAGGCCCUGUGCUGAGGGAGCCCUGGGGCCCAGCCCUGCCCUUGGGGGCUCCCUGAGUCCUGCUGGGAGUGGGUCUCAGGUGCAGGCCGUGGUUUCACACACUCGGGGCCAGGAUUCCCCAGGCUGGGCAGGCUGGGCGCUCAGGGUCACAUCCCCUCCUAAUUCCCUCUCCCAGUUUUGGUAACCAUUGUCUCCCCUGGAAAAGUUACGGUCUUCAAGCGUCACAGGAGAUAUUCAAAGGACUCAGUUCUUGUACCACUGACAGGACAUUAGUUUCCUGUUUGCCGAAAGCUCAGCAGAUAUCCACUGAGGCCCCACUGUGUCCCAGGUAGCCACAGAUAAAAUAGAGGAAGUCCCUGUGUUCGAGCUCACAUCCUGGGUGAGGUCCUCCCUUCACCUUGCCUCAGUUUUCCCCUCUGGAGGGGAAUGACCCCACCUCCCGGGGCUCAUGUGAGCAUUAAGUGAGGUGCUGGAGGUGACAGCACCUAGUAUGUUCCUGGUGCUGGUGGCUGCUGAGUCUGUCAGAGUAUAUUUCGUGUCAAGAAGACAAAGGUGGUGUUUACAUUAACAAAACUGAGCCGUCAGGACGUUGAGUGGUACCUGUAGAAAUGCUUUAUGAAAUGCUUUUGUGUGCAUCGCCUAAGCAUGGCCUCUGCGACAGCCCGGCACGCUGGGCAGGGCGUGGCUGGGAAGUCUCAGGGCCAGGCCAGGAGACACAGGCUCCAGGAACUCUGAGAAAAAGGGGGCAGGAGGGUGUGCUGAGGGAGGUGGUGUUGAGCAGGUCCUAGAAGGUGCUGCCACAUCCCGAGGCUCAGAGGGCUUUGCCCGCAGAGGGCCAGCGGGUGGGACCGGCAGGCGAGCAGGAAUCCGGCCUCUUGCAUCCGGGGUUGGUCCAGCCAGGUACCUUCCUGGGGUGGAAGGUAUUUUGGGCGGGGGGAAUGUGGUACUCAAGAUAAGGGAUCAGUGUCCGGGUCCCAGUUUCCAGUGGCCCUGAGUUUCCUUGUCUGUAAAGCGGAGAUGUCCCACCGCACUCCAAGAGAGGACGUGGGCGUGCCAUACGAGCACAUGGAGCCACCAUCCUCCCCGUCACCUCUCCAGCCUCAUGAGAUGGACCUGAAAUAAAACCAAAAGCCUAAAGUUUGUAGAUUCUGUCUCUUUGCGGGGAUGCUAAAACUGCCCUUCCCUCUUCGUAAUCCUAAAGUUUCAGCCUUCCUGUUUCUGUGUCCGCUCACUCCACAGGGUCUCUUGUCCCUCGACAUACCAUGUGGAAGCCUGCUGGGGCCGGGUCAUGUGUACCCUCCGCAGGGGACCCCUUCACAGUGCAGGGGAUAUGUUCUAGGGCCCAGAGUUGGGUGACAAAGGUUGUAGUCCUGCCUCCAUCACCUAGAAGGCACGUGAAGACGUUGGCCGUGACUUUAUCUUUUUUAUGUCUGUGCUCUGGAAACGAUAAGCGUCCUUAUCUCAUGGGACUGGCACUGAAAUGACAUCAUCAGUGAGCGCUUUGCCCAGGUCCUGGUGCUCUUGGUCAUGGCCUUGCCCUUGAAUGGCACGUAUUAUUGUUUUUAUCCUUACUAUUAAUAUCACAUCCUGUCUCACAAGAGCCCUACAAGGAAGGCUUUAUUACCCCACUUUGCCGAUGAGGAAGCUGAGACGCAAGUAGCCUCGGAGUUUGCCCAAGUCACGUCACUUACAAGUCGCAGGGCCAGCUUAUCAAGCCACACCUGCAGACUCCACAAGCCACACUUCCCCCUUUGCCACGCUGCCUGAUUUCAGCAGGGCCCCUCGUGGACUGCGUGGGGGGCGGAUGGAGGGUCAUCGGGAGGCAGGUGGUGGGGGGCGCUACAGGACGUGGGCCCGAGAGAGAUGGGGAGGCCAGAAAAGGGAGUCCCGGGGCUCGCACAGUGAGGGCACAGUUGAUGGGACACGCGGGCCUGGCUGGGCGUGAAGAGUCUGCACCAGGCAGCUGCUCAGAGCAGGUUUGGGAAACGGGGAGACAGGAUGCCUCUGGGCGUAGGCGGAGCAAGGGAGCAGAGCAAAACCCAAAGUGUAGAGAUUUGGACCCUUUGCAAGCAGCAGGGGAUGGGGUGACUAGAGAAGAGAGGCCAGGCUGCUAGAAGGAAGACACUGGCUUUUUCUCUUAGGCUUUUGUUUCUCUUGUUAAGGCUGAGCAUGAGCUGUGGGUAGCAGGGUGAGGCCACUCGCCGCUCCUCUGUCUCUCUGGUCCCUGUGGCCGACGGGGGGAGGCGAGGAACAAGAGACCAGGGAGGGUCAGAGGGAAGGUCAGUUCUGGAAGGACUGUUUUGUUUUGUUCGUCACCUUUUUGCUGAAGUGUAUAUAACAUGCAAACAGAAGGACACGGGUCGUAGUGCACGGUUUGAAGGACGUGUGUAACCAAAAUGGCCCCAUGUUGUCUGUGUCACGGAGCAUGCACUCUGAAGUUUACGUGGAGUUCUUUGGUCUCAUUUGGUAUUCCAUUCUGUGAAUAAUCUGUGAUUUAUUCUUUCUGAUGAUGACGGACAUUUCGCCGGUUCCCGGUCGGGAGAACAGUUGCAAACAGUGCUACCGUGAACAUUCUGCUUCCUUGGUGUAGCCUUUAAACUUAGACCUCCAUGCAGCUGACGUCGACUUGGCUUUGGCAAGUUGUGUGUGGUGCUUCGAGGUUCAUUUUUCCCCCAUCGGAUAUCCAUCCACUGGUCACAGCACGAGGUGUUAUAAAGGCCAGUCUCUUCCCACUGCCCUUCAGUGUCACUGGUGAUAUAAAUCAGGUAACUGUCUGUAUGCGGGUCAGUUUCUAGACUGUUCUGUCCUAUGGAUCUGUUUUCUGUUGCUUCAUCGGGACCACACUAUUCCAUUUUCUGUGAUCCCAUAGUCACUCUGGACUUGAUAUCUGUAGGCCAAGUCCCCCAGCUUUGUUUUCUUCUAAGAUUCUUUUGUCUUCUUCAGGCCCUUGACAUUCCAUGUAACUUUUAGACCAGAAUGUCAAUGUCCACCAAAACCAAAGCGGGGAGAAAACAAACCCUGCUGGGGUUUUAGUUGGGAUUGGAUCAAAUCUAUAAAUUAAUUGGCACUUUACAGUAUUGAGCCUUUUAUUUUUUUAUUUCUUUAAUAUUUAUUAUUUUUGAGAGAGAGAGAGAGAGAGAGCGCACGCACGUGUGCAAGUGGGGUAGGGGCAGAGCGAGGGGGACAGAGGAUCUGAAGCGGGCUCUGCGCUGACAGCAGCGAACCUGAUGUGGGACUCAAACUUACGAACCGUGAGAUCAUGACCUGAGCCAAAGUCGGAUGCUCAAACAACUGAACCACCCAGGUGCCCUUCAGUAUUGAACCUUUUAAUCCACAAACAUAGUUGUUUACCCCAGGGAGAUCUUCUGAGUUAUAUUAAUAGCAAUUAAAGGCUUGUUCAAGAGAGCAGCACGUUCUCUUAGUGACGGUGGUAAUAAUUCCGAAAGUGGCUCCUUGCCAUCCACUCACACUUAGUCCUCAGCCUUCACUCAGCUUGUGCCUCUGGACAGAGCAUUCCACGCUAGGGCAGCUCUUAGUCGCAGGGCACCCGGGGUGUGAUGGUUCCCACGGGAGUCUGAAGCUCCAGGACCCCCCCGGAGCCCCCACUUAGCUCGCACACGUAACACAGCGCUCUGAGUGGAGCACCCCUCUUGUCGCAUGGCCAUUUGUAUUUCUGCCUCCCAUGAUGCAGAGACAGCGUCCCAUUCCUGUCCGGGUCCACUGUUGGACUAGCACUAACAUGUACCUGUGGCUGCCUCUUGGGCAAAGUGGCCCACAGGCUGACCUUGGCUUACAUGGGAGUUUUACAUUUUUUAAUUUAUUUUAUUUCAUUUAUUUAUUUUUUAAUUAAAAAAAAAUUUUUUUUUUUAAUGUUUAUUUUUGAGAGAGAAAGAACUGUGAGCGGGGUAGGGACAGAGAGAGAGGGAGACACAGAAUCUGAAGCAGGCUCCAGAGGCCUGAGCCGCCCAGGCGCCCCAAGGGAGUUUUACAUUUUUAAAUUACGACAUUAUUUGAAAUUAGAACGUUGAAAAGGGUGGCAUAUCAAACCCAGACUUUCAGCUUCUCUUGAAAAAGAAUCCGAGGCUCUGGCCCCACGGUGACGCCCGCCAGUGGUGGUAAAGCUGAGCUGGUGGCCAGCCCGGCCCAGCCUGGGCCGCUGGGCUCCUCCUCUGCUCUGCUGGAGGCAAGAAGCGCCCAAGUGGCCUCCACACAUACCUCUGGCCUCACGUCUGGUGCCUGAGCUUGAAAGAAAAACAAAGCUUUUUAUUGUGGAACGUUUCAAACAAACGCCAAAGGACAGAGCCCAGAAGAUGUGAACACAGCCCCCCACCCACCGUGGGGGCUUGUUUCCUCCCGUCCCCGCUGCUCCUGGCUUAUCUUAAAGCAGUCCAAUUUCAUAAUUAGUCAUAUAUGGAUCUGAAUAAAGGAAUCAGGAUUUCUUAGCAAAUUGGAAACACUUCAUGUGAAAUGUGAAAAUAGUUCGGCCUUCUCCUCUCCUUUUUGAACACAACUCUCUGCCAUUGUCCUCACACCUGAGAGCCAGCGGCAAGCUUCGGGACUCUCAGGCACCCAGGAGCGUUUGUUUGUCGUUCCCUGAUUGACUGAUACGUAUCUAUUUUUUUCACACUUCUUCAAAAAUUCAGGAUCUAAACAAGAUUGCAGUUGCACUGCCGUUGAUAAAUAAAUCUUAAAAGUCUCCCUCCCUCGGAGGGCCAGGUAUGUGGAGGUAUAAUUUAUGUGCAGAUGAGUCCUAAAAGAGGUAUGCGGUUGUGCAGCCAGUGUUACGAUCAAGAUCUAGAACAUUGCACGUGUUAGGGUGGCCGGUGAUGGUGGGCGGCAAAGAAUUGCACAAAGAGCGGGGCAACAAGCAGGACAGAGUUUAUUCACUCGCCAAGGGAGGAGAGGGGCCAGACAUCAAGAGAGGUGUCACCCCCGGUCGGGCUGGACCUUGUAAGCAUUUUUUGUUUUAAGGAUGUGAUAAGGGUCGCAGCUGUGCCGGCGGGGGUGGGGGGGGGGGAGGGUAUGGGGAGGGGCUUGAUUCUUGGCCAGGCAGAACAGAAAGUGGCAGGUUUUUUGGGGGGGCUCAUCUAGGAUGCAGAUUGUAGUCAGGCUAGAGGAGAAUACAUUUUGUAGUUGGGUCUGUUUUCUGAGAAUGUAGGGCACCUUGACCUAGAAAAACAAAGAGUUAGGGCCAAGUGCAGACACCUGUGAGUUUUGUCUUUAAGUUUGAUUGGGGGCGAGGGGGAGGGACUUUGAAUAAAUUCCUUUUACCCAAAGUCCCCGUGACCCCCUCCCCCCACUGUGUCCCUUUGCAGUUAAUACCCACCCACCCCCACCUCUAGUGACCA